AGUGACGAAGAAAGCAAACUCCUGAAGACAGUGGUUCCAGCUCCAUCAUGCCUGGGUACCAGAAGGACUCCAAGUCAACAACACACUCACAGAGAAACUUUCACUCAGUGUCUACUGCAGCACUAUUGAUAGUACCUAAGUACGGAACCUGGGUGUCCAAGAACAGGGAGAGAACCAGUUAAACUUCCUGUGCCAGCAGCAGAGCUUGCAGUGUUGACAAGUCAGCACACAACAAUGAUUAUGUUUUGUCCACGUCAAAACCACCAAGUGAAAAAUGAAAGUACCAGUCAACCAGAUGUUUUGUCUGCACCAUGUGAAACUAUCGGUUAGACCAAACUGGCUCUCUUCACCCCUUUCAUUGUCUUACUAAGUGUACAGAAAGCCCUAAUCAAUGGGUAGACUAGUUUUUUGUCAUUGUUGAUGGAAAAGAGAUGAAAUUAUGCUAUUUAUAGAAGCUUUUAAUUUUAAUCUAGAUACUGUUGCACUGUAUCUUCUUUGUUAUAUGAGAUGUCUGAAUUGUCCUCAAGAAGCCCGACCCUCCAUAUGGUUCAGCAUAUUAAACAGAUCUUGUAAUAUCAA